GGACGAACGCUGGCGGCGUGCUUAACACAUGCAAGUCGACGAGAAAGGGGUAGCAAUAUCCCGAGUAAAGUGGCGCACGGGUGAGUAACACGUAAGUAAUCUACCUUUAGGUUCGGAAUAACUCCGAGAAAUCGGGGCUAAUACCGGAUGAUGCAGCGGAUCCACAUGGAUAUGUUGUUAAAGUCUAUAUGACGUCUAAAGAUGAGCUUGCGGCCGAUUAGCUAGUUGGUAGGGUAACGGCCUACCAAGGCAACGAUCGGUAGCUGGUCUGAGAGGAUGAUCAGCCACACUGGAACUGAGACACGGUCCAGACUCCUACGGGAGGCAGCAGUGAGGAAUAUUGGGCAAUGCCCGAAAGGGUGACCCAGCAACGCCGCGUGGAGGAUGAAGGUCGUAAGAUUGUAAACUCCUGUUAGAGGGGACGAAUAUCACCGAUCGACUCGGUGUUUGACUGUACCCUCAGAGAAAGCCCCGGCUAACUACGUGCCAGCAGCCGCGGUAAUACGUAGGGGGCAAGCGUUGUCCGGAUUCACUGGGUGUAAAGGGCGCGCAGGCGGGUUAACAAGUCAGAGGUGAAAUCCUACAGCUUAACUGUAGAACUGCCUUUGAAACUGUUAAUCUUGAGUGCGGAAGAGAGAGACGGAAUUCCAGGUGUAGCGGUGAAAUGCGUAGAUAUCUGGAAGAACACCAGUUGCGAAGGCGGUCUCUUGGUCCGUUACUGACGCUCACGCGCGAAAGCGUGGGGAGCAAACAGGAUUAGAUACCCUGGUAGUCCACGCCCUAAACGAUGAAUACUAGGUGUUGGUGCUUUUGCAUCAGUGCCGCAGCUAACGCAUUAAGUAUUCCACCUGGGGAGUACGAUCGCAAGGUUGAAACUCAAAGGAAUUGACGGGGGCCCGCACAGCAGUGGAGCAUGUGGUUUAAUUCGAUGCAACGCGAGACCUUACCUAGGCUUGAAAGGCAGAUGACAGGUAUGAAAGUACCCCUCCUCGGGCAUCUUGUACAGUGCUGCAUGCUGUCGUCA
rnacentral:rRNA from 1 species